rnacentral:ncRNA from 1 species
ACGCUUUCGCAUCCCACGCAUUCCCUCGCCAGUUGCUGUGAUGAUUCAUAAUAACUCGACGGAUCGCACGGCCAUCGUGCCGGCGACGCAUCAUCCAAAUUUCUGCCCUAUGAACUUUUGAUGGUAGGAUAGUGGCCUAUCAUGGUGGUGACGGGUGACAGAGAAUUAGGGUUCGAUUCCGGAGAGAGAGCCUGUGAAACGGCUACCACAUCCAAGGAAGGCAGCAGGUGCGCAAAUUACCCAAUCCUGACACGGGGAGGUAGUGACAAUAAAUAACAAUACUGGGCUCCAUGAGUUUUGUAAUUAGAAUGAGUACAAUCUAAAUUCCUUAACGAGGAUCCAUUGGAGGGCAAGUCUGGUGCAAGCAGUCGCAGUAAUUCCAUCUCCAAUAGCGU